CGGGUCGGACAGACAGUCGCCGCGUAUCGCGUAAGGCAUACGGGGAGGAAAGUCCGGGCUGCACAGGGCAGGAUGCCGGCUAACGGCCGGGCGCGGCAACGCGACGGAAAGUGGAGCAGAAAGCAAAACCGCCGACGGUACCGUCUGAAAAGGCGGCACGGGCAAGGGUGAAAAGGUGCGGUAAGAGCGCACCGUGCACCUGGCAACAGGGCGCAGCAGGCCAAACCCCAUCCGCAGCAAGGCCAAACAGAACGCGACGACGCUGCCCGCCGAGCGUUCGGGUAGGCCGCUCGAACACACCGGCAACGGUGUGUCUAGACGAAUGACUGUCCGACGACAGAACCCGGCUUACCGUCCGUCCCGCGUG
rnacentral:RNase_P_RNA from 1 species